rnacentral:rRNA from 1 species
GACGAACGCUGGCGGCGUGCUUAACACAUGCAAGUCGAACGGUAAGGCCCUUCGGGGUACACGAGUGGCGAACGGGUGAGUAACACGUGGGUGAUCUGCCCUGCACUUCGGGAUAAGCCAGGGAAACUGGGUCUAAUACCGGAUAGGACCACUGCCUGCAUGGGUGGUGGUGGAAAGCUUUUGCGGUGUGGGAUGGGCCCGCGGCCUAUCAGCUUGUUGAUGGGGUGAUGGCCUACCAAGGCGACGACGGGUAGCCGGCCUGAGAGGGUGACCGGCCACACUGGGACUGAGCUACGGCCCAGACUCCUACGGGAGGCAGCAGUGGGGAAUAUUGCACAAUGGGCGCAAGCCUGAUGCAGCGACGCCGCGUGAGGGAUGACGGCCUUCGGGUUGUAAACCUCUUUCAGCACCGACGAAGCGCAAGUGACGGUAGGUGCAGAAGAAGGACCGGCCAACUACGUGCCAGCCGCCGCAGUAAGAC